AUAAGACGCACAUCCCUACUUCAUGCUACAUCUAAUCGUAAUAGUGAUCAUUUGGAAGUCGAAGACGAAGGAACGGAAGAAAGCCGGGCAAAAUCGUCGCUUCUUACAGUUAUAGUGAUUGCACUGUUCAGUGAAAUAAACCGAAAAUGAUAUUUGAAAAGAAAAGAUUCGAUUAAUAAAGUACGCUGACACGCUCUUCCCCAUAUUAUUCCUGGCAUGACUGAAUCACUAGCAGCUGGUUCGCGACGGAGCCAAAAUAGUCAACUACCUCGGCCAGUUUCCUCCGAAAUUACUGUGCUGACGAAGCAUCAAGCGAAGGUGGCGAUUUGAAAUCAAAGAUAAAUAUAGACCACAGAAAAGAAUAUCUCCUUGAUGAAUCAGCGUGUCCAUUUGUUCUCUUGAAAAGUACUGUCAUUCCAUCUUCAAGGUCAUUUAAAAUUCAUCGAUAAUUAUAUAUAUACUUUUUUUAUUUAUAAUAUCUGUAUAAUAUGAACCGCAUUUAAAAUAUAAAAAUCAUAUAGUUUUUAAGAAUUUUCCUUUAUUAUUUCUAAAAUAGUUAGAAAUAAAAAAAUGCUAUUUUGAAAUAUUUGUUUGAUUGUAUAUUUGAAAUUCCUGUUGAAAAUUUAGCACUGGUCACAAAGAAUCAAUAUUGAAAUUAUUUACGUCAAAUUUAAAAAAUACACACACACACACACAUACAUACACGUAUGAUAUAAGUUUAUAACAAAUAUCUUAGUGAUACUGUAUAUUUUCGAAUAUUUUAAAAUGGGGUUUAAAGAUCCCAGAUAUAUAUCCAGAACAUAUAUCUGUGUGCACGUGAUACGUUUUGUGAGAUGUAUACAAACUGUAUAAUAAAUUAAGAAUUAUGUAAUUUUAUUAAGUAAUAAAAUUUAAAAAAUGUAUAAUAAUAAAAAAUAAAAGAGCGUUUAAAAUACCA